UUUAAGUUUUAAACACUAUUAAUUCGAUGUAAAGACAACCCGAGCUUUAUAUGUUUUAAAAUGAUCAAAUAAUUUUCUAUUUCUUCCAUACAAAGGGAUAAAAAUAUGGCUAAAGCUAUGAAGUUUAUUUAUGCUAUAAUCAUUUUUAUUUCCAUAUUUAUUAUUGCAACGAAUGUUCAUGGUAAGUCAUUAUUUUGUAUUUUUUUUAAUUUUUCUUCAUAGCUUUUUGUAUAAUAUUUUUUUUUCUCUUUUUUUGAACAUUCUUAUAUUUUCAUUUUUCAUUUUUUAUUGUAGCUUUUAAUGAAUGUAGUGAAGACGAUGAUUGUCCUAAAGCUAUGUGCUUUAAAGGUUAUGUUGCAAAGUGUAUUAAUAACAGCAGAUGUGCAUGUGUUGAUGAAGAUGAUGAUUUACCCUAAUUCUAUUCAAUGAGUAAUCGUAUAGUUAUUGUCUAAGAUCCAAUAAUUAUAUAUUUUUUUUUAUAUAUAUUUUCUGUAAUAAUUUUAAGGACCUUCCAAUAGAGAUUUUGUACUAUAUAUAA
rnacentral:lncRNA from 1 species